rnacentral:rRNA from 1 species
GACGAACGCUGGCGGCGUGCUUAACACAUGCAAGUCGAACGAUGAAGCCGGAGCUUGCUCUGGUGAAUUAGUGGCGAACGGGUGAGUAACACGUGAGUAACCUGCCCUUGACUCUGGGAUAACUGCGGGAAACUGUAGCUAAUACCGGAUACGACCCUCGGAGGCAUCUCCUGGGGGGGGAAAGAAUUUCGGUCAAGGAUGGACUCGCGGCCUAUCAGCUAGUUGGUGAGGUAGAGGCUCACCAAGGCGACGACGGGUAGCCGGCCUGAGAGGGUGACCGGCCACACUGGGACUGAGACACGGCCCAGACUCCUACGGGAGGCAGCAGUGGGGAAUAUUGCACAAUGGGCGCAAGCCUGAUGCAGCAACGCCGCGUGAGGGAUGACGGCCUUCGGGUUGUAAACCUCUUUUAGCAGGGAAGAAGCGAAAGUGACGGUACCUGCAGAAAAAGCACCGGCUAACUACGUGCCAGCCGCCGCAGUAAAAC